UCUUUUUAUAAAUUCAUAUAUAUAUAUAUAUAUAUAUAUAUACAUAAAUUUUUCAAGUACGAAAGGAAAAAAAAAUUUUUAUUUUAAUUAAUUAGCAAUUAAUAUGCAUUAGAUUUAGAAUCUAAAUAAACUAUU
rnacentral:misc_RNA from 1 species